AAAACCCCAUCACUCCAACUGUGGUGUUGGCGGCAGCGGUGCCAGCACCGAGGAUUCUAUCCCCGUCGGCCCACUCCACCAAAAUGCAUCGGGCGGACAUACUGAUCUCACCAAACUGACUUUGUAAAAUCAAUCAGCCAGGAGUGACGUCGUGUCCUGCCAAACCCUUGGGCCCCCAUCCCAAGCGGUACAAGUAAUG
rnacentral:misc_RNA from 1 species